GGUCAAGCUAGGAAGGGCAUACGGUGGAUGCCUGGGCGCUUUGGGCCGACGAAGGACGUGGCAAGCUGCGAAAAGCCACGGGGAGCCGCAAGCAGGCGUAGAUCCGUGGAUUUCCGAAUGGGGCAACCCGGCGGGGGCGAACCCCCGUCAUUCCGUACUGAAUCCAUAGGUACGGGAGGGGCACCCGGGGAACUGAAACAUCUUAGUACCCGGAGGAAAAGAAAGCAAAAGCGAUCCCCGUAGUAGCGGCGAGCGAAGAGGGGACAGCCUAAACCCAUCCAGCACUCAGCCGGGCAAUUGAAAAGGAAGUCUCACUUUCAAGUUGGCACAACUCACCUUUCAACUGCUGGGCUGAGUGCUGGAUGCGGGGUUGCGGGACUCCCGUUGACGUACUGCGGAACUUAGCCGAAGCGGGCUGGAAAGCCCCGCCGCAGAAGGUAAUAGCCCUGUAGGCGAAAAGGGAAGCAGUGCGGGGAGGAUCCCAAGUACCGCGGGGCACGUGGAAUCCUGCGGGAAUCAGGGAGGACCACCUUCCAAGGCUAAAUACCCAAAGCGACCGAUAGAGGACGAGUACCGUGAGGGAAAGGUGAAAAGCACCCCGGGAGGGGAGUGAAAUAGGACCUGAAACCGUAUGCCUACAAGCAGUCGGAGCCCAGCACUCAACUGAGUGCUUACCUUAGGCUUUAGAGGGGCUGAUACAUUCCGGGAGGGAAGGGCCUGUUUAAGGCAACCGUAAGCACCGAGUUGAGUGCUGGGUGACGGCGUACUUUUUGUAGAACGGACCGGCGAGUUACGUCUAGCGGGCGAGGUUAAGGCAAAAAAGGCCGGAGCCGUAGCGAAAGCGAGUCUGAAUAGGGCGAUAAGUCCGCUGGAGUAGACCCGAAACCGGGUGAGCUACCCAUGUCCAGAGUGAAGCGUAAGUAAAGUUACGUGGAGGCUCGAACCAACCGUCGUUGAAAAGGCGGUGGAUGAGGUGUGGGUAGGGGUGAAAUGCCAAUCGAACCCGGAAAUAGCUGGUUCUCCCCGAAAUAGCUUUAGGGCUAGCCUCAUACGAGAGAGCCGGAGGUAGAGCACUGACUGGGCUAGGGGCCUUCGCGGGUUACCGAACCCAAUCAAACUACGAAUGCCGGUUGCUCGAUGUAUGGGAGUCAGACUACGAGUGCUAAGAUCCGUAGUCGAGAGGGGAACAGCCCGGACCGCCGGCUAAGGUCCCGAAGCGGUGCUAAGUGGGGAAGGAUGUGGGGCUGCGAAGACAACCAGGAUGUUGGCUUAGAAGCAGCCAUCAUUCAAAGAGUGCGUAAUAGCUCACUGGUCAAGUGGCCCUGCGCCGAAAAUGAAACGGGGCUCAAGCACCGCACCGAAGCCGCGG
rnacentral:rRNA from 1 species